rnacentral:rRNA from 1 species
UACGGGGGGAGCAAGCGUUGUUCGGAUUUACUGGGCGUAAAGGGAGCGUAGGAGGGCAGGUAAGUCAGUGGUGAAAUCUUCGAGCUUAACUCGGAAACUGCCGUUGAUACUAUCUGUCUUGAAUACCGUGGAGAUGAGCGGAAUAUGUCAUGUAGCGGUGAAAUGCUUAGAUAUGACAUAGAACACCAAUUGCGAAGGCAACUCGUUACACGAAUAUUGACACUGAGGCACGAAAGCGUGGGGAUCAAACAGG